AUUGAACGCUGGCGGCGUGCCUAACACAUGCAAGUCGAGCGGUAACAGGUGUAGCAAUACAUGCUGACGAGCGGCGGACGGGUGAGUAACGCUUGGGAAUCUGCCUAUUAGUGGGGGACAACCCGGGGAAACUCGGGCUAAUACCGCAUACGCUCUACGGAGGAAAGCCGGGGACCGCAAGGCCUGGCGUUAAUAGAUGAGCCCAAGUCGGAUUAGCUAGUUGGUAGGUAAUGGCCACCAAGGCGACGAUCCGUAACUGGUCUGAGAGGACGACCAGUCACACCGGAACUGAGACACGGUCCGGACUCCUACGGGAGGCAGCAGUGGGGAAUAUUGGACAAUGGGCGAAAGCCUGAUCCAGCGACGCCGCGUGGGUGAAGAAGGCCUGCGGGUUGUAAAGCCCUUUCAGUGGGGAAGAAAAGCCUCGACCUAACACGUCGGGGUCUUGACGUAACCCAUAGAAGAAGCACCGGCUAACUCUGUGACAGCCGCCGCUGUAAG
rnacentral:rRNA from 1 species